rnacentral:rRNA from 1 species
GACGAACGCUGGCGGCGUGCCUAAUACAUGCAAGUCGAACGCACUCUCGUUUAGAUUGAAGGAGCUUGCUCCUGAUUGAUAAACAUUUGAGUGAGUGGCGGACGGGUGAGUAACACGUGGGGUAACCUGCCCUAAAGUGGGGGAUAACAUUUGGAAACAGAUGCUAAUACCGCAUAAAACCUAACACCGCAUGGUGUAGGGUUGAAAGAUGGUUUCGGCUAUCACUUUAGGAUGGACCCGCGGUGCAUUAGUUAGUUGGUGAGGUAAAGGCUCACCAGACCGUGAUGCAUAGCCGACCUGAGAGGGGUAAAUCGGGCCACACUGGGACUGAGACA